rnacentral:ribozyme from 1 species
UACCCAGCAACUCAUAUCCCUACCUCCUCGAGGUACUGGCCGGGGCUCGAGGAACCUUAGGGAUGGUCGGGUAACCAACCUCGGUGCGAACUUUAGUCACCUGCCAGUCGACAGGGAAGG